UAGGGAAUCUUCCACAAUGGACGCAAGUCUGAUGGAGCAACGCCGCGUGAGUGAAGAAGGGUUUCGGCUCGUAGAGCUCUGUUGUUAAAGAAGAACGUGGGUAAGAGUAACUGUUUACCCAGUGACGGUAUUUAACCAGAAAGCCACGGCUAACUACGUGCCAG
rnacentral:rRNA from 1 species